CUUGUUUCUUCUUUUUUUUCCUGGCUACGUCUGCAGGCCCGAUCACCCUCUUAUCACUUCCUCCCUCCAUUUCAAAUUCUUCUGGCUGUCCCCGCUUGGUUGAGUAGGAAACCUUUCAUUGUUAGUGAUUCUUUGGACAGAUAUUUGGAUUCAUAGGCAUCGAUUACAGCUCUCCUACACUCGAUAUUGCCCUUAUGAAUCUCAUCCCGGCUUUCACUUUCAUACUCGCUGUCAUUUUCAGGUUCUAGGUUGGAAAAAUUGGUAUGGAAAAGCACGAGCAGCCAAGCUAAGGUUAUUGGAACCAUAGCAUCAGUUUCUACAAAGGCCCACCACUCACUGUGCCAACAACUAUUCAACUUCACCUCUCUCCACAGUCAAGGAGGGUCCUCGGUGGUUUCUUCCUAGCAGGAGUACUCAUGAUAGCAUCGUGUUACAUUGUCCAGGCGUUUGUCAUCGAGGAUUACCCGGAGGUGCUAAUAAUCACGUUCUACUUCAACUUCUACUUGACCACCUUGGCUGUCUCACUAAGCACUGGUCGCAGUGAGGGACCCUAAGUCAUGGGCCGUAAUGGUUGAGUCGGGUCUUGUUGCAAUCACAUUCUCGUCGUUGGUGGGGCAAUUUGUUCCGAGUCUUCGCGGCCAUAUGGGGCCUACAGAGGAGGGGGCCUGUGUAUGUUGCAAUGUUCAAGCCCCUCGGAGUAAUCUUUGCUGUGGUGCUUGGAAUAAUCUUCUUAGGUGACUAUUAUGCCGUGGAAGGUAUUUAAUAUUACAAUCAUUGUUGUGUUAUUUAUUUGUAAUGUUCCUUUGCAGUCUUUUUUUCCAUCUUAUGGAAUGCCCCAUGGAGUAACUUCGUAGGAGCGGCUCUGGGCCUUAAAGGGCUUAAUAGCCUUUAGGGCGGAGGCUAAGGUCGCUCAUGGGCCCUGUAACCAUAAAGCCAUGUGCCAAUGUCCAUAGAGUUCAUCCUUGAUAACUCAGAAGCCAAUUCACGAGUUAUGUGUUGAAGGUGGAUCCUGAAUUUGCUACUUCUAGGAGAUAUCGAUCUUUCCUACGGCUGUUGUCCUUUCUUUAAUUAGAACCCAAUAAUUCAGUUUAUCCUUGAUAGCUCAGAUGAGUGUACACGCUUAAGGGCUGAGUUUUUCCUGCGAUCGGGUUGAAGGCCUGACCAUUAGGCGUGGAAAGAGUUCAAAAUCAUGG